CGCGUAGGUGGUUUGUUAAGUUGGAUGUGAAAUCCCCGGGCUCAACCUGGGAACUGCAUUCAAAACUGACUGACUAGAGUAUGGUAGAGGGUGGUGGAAUUUCCUGUGUAGCGGUGAAAUGCGUAGAUAUAGGAAGGAACACCAGUGGCGAAGGCGACCACCUGGACUGAUACUGACACUGAGGUGCGAGAGCGUGGGGAGCAAAACA
rnacentral:rRNA from 1 species